CGUGCCUGCCGUUGCAUAUCAUUCCAAACUGAUAGGCCAGUCGUCUUUGGCUCUUUCCAGCGAGAGAAACUCACUGGAAGUCUCAUCACGAGAAUGCCCACAGGCAGCUGCUGGGAAAGGGAGUGGUGUUGGCGACGAUGGCAGCAUGACCACUUCACUGCACCAACACCCAGAGGUGGAGAGCAGAAUUCAUGGCUCCAUCAAUUACAGCAGGUUGUGCUGAAGCACCAAAGCAGCUCCAGACCAUCACAGACCAUGUCCUCUUGGAGUAAUUUAGGUACUCUGGCCACUCCUGGGAAGGUUCACCACUGUUCCAGGUUUUCUCCAUUUGUGGAUAAUGGCUCUCCCUUCGCUGGAGUCCUAAAGCCUCAGAAAUGGCUUUGUAACGCUUUCCAUGACUCUGUUAACAUCUGCUGUUGAGUUUCUUUUACCUUUUCACACAGGGUCAGGUAGGUUUGAAUAGCUGUUUUUCUUUAAGAAAUUGAAUAGUCAUUUAAAAUCUGGGGUUACUACUACAAGGGUUAUCUUUGAUUAAUAUUACAGUUUAAGCAACAACCUAAUAAAUUAGGAAGAUGGUAAAUGCUUUUUCACAGCACUGUAUAUUUGAGCUUUGGAAAUAACUUGUUUUGAUUUGGUGACCCUGUGCAUCAUGGUUUAUGUUAUCUACAAUC